rnacentral:rRNA from 1 species
AUUGAACGCUGGCGGCAGGCCUAACACAUGCAAGUCGAACGAGUGGCGGACGGGUGAGUAAUGUCUGGGAAACUGCCCGAUGGAGGGGGAUAACUACUGGAAACGGUAGCUAAUACAGCAUACCAUCGGAUGUGCCCAGAUGGGAUUGGGUAGUAGGUGGGGAAAAGGCUAACCUGGGCGACGAUCCCUAGCUGGUCUGAGAGGAUGACCAGCCACAAGGGAAUGGAGACACGGUCCAGACCCCUACGGGAGGCAGCAGUGGGGAAUAGUGAACAAUGGGCGCAAGCCUGAUGCAGCCAUGCCGCGUGUAUGAAGGAGGCCUUCGGGUUGUAAAGUACUUUCAGCGGGGAGGCGUUACCCGCAGAAGAAGCACCGGCUAACUCCGUGCCAGCAGCCGCGGUAAUAC